rnacentral:rRNA from 1 species
AGCGAACGCUGGCGGCAGGCCUAACGCAUGCAAGUCGAACGAACCCCUCGGGGUUAGUGGCGGACGGGUGAGUAACACGUGGGAACGUGCCUUUAGGUUCGGAAUAACUCAGGGAAACUUGUGCUAAUACCGAAUGUGCCCUUCGGGGGAAAGAUUUAUCGCCUUUAGAGCGGCCCGCGUCUGAUUAGCUAGUUGGUGAGGUAAUGGCUCACCAAGGCUACGAUCAGUAGCUGGUCUGAGAGGAUGACCAGCCACAUUGGGACUGAGACACGGCCCAAACUCCUACGGGAGGCAGCAGUGGGGAAUUUUGCGCAAUGGGCGAAAGCCUGACGCAGCCAUGCCGCGUGGAUGAUGAAGGUCUUAGGAUUGUAAAAUCCUUUCACCGGUGAAGAUAAUGACUGUAGCCGGAGAAGAAGCCCCGGCUAACUUCGUGCCAGCCGCCGCGGUAAGAC